rnacentral:rRNA from 2 species
GUGGCCCAACUGAUUGAACGUGCUUGCACGGACUUGACGUUGGUUUACCAGCGAGUGGCGGACGGGUGAGUAACACGUAGGUAACCUGCCCCAAAGCGGGGGAUAACAUUUGGAAACAGAUGCUAAUACCGCAUAACAAUUUGAAUCGCAUGAUUCAAAUUUAAAAGAUGGUUUCGGCUAUCACUUUGGGAUGGACCUGCGGCGCAUUAGCUUGUUGGUAGGGUAACGGCCUACCAAGGCUGUGAUGCGUAGCCGAGUUGAGAGACUGAUCGGCCACAAUGGAACUGAGACACGGUCCAUACUCCUACGGGAGGCAGCAGUAGGGAAUCUUCCACAAUGGGCGCAAGCCUGAUGGAGCAACACCGCGUGAGUGAAGAAGGGUUUCGGCUCGUAAAGCUCUGUUGUUAGAGAAGAACGUGCGUGAGAGCAACUGUUCACGCAGUGACGGUAUCUAACCAGAAAGUCACGGCUAACUACGUGCCAGCAGCCGCGGUAAUACGUAGGUGGCAAGCGUUAUCCGGAUUUAUUGGGCGUAAAGCGAGCGCAGGCGGUUUGAUAAGUCUGAUGUGAAAGCCUUUGGCUUAACCAAAGAAGUGCAUCGGAAACUGUCAGACUUGAGUGCAGAAGAGGACAGUGGAACUCCAUGUGUAGCGGUGGAAUGCGUAGAUAUAUGGAAGAACACCAGUGGC